ensembl:miRNA
UUGUGCAAACAGCUUUGAUCAGAGUCUGAUGAAACCUAAUGAAAGCUGUUUGCUGUAAU